GAUUCUUUUAUUAUGGUAGAAUACGAGAAAAGAUGAUACGAGCCGUGAAUGCGAAAUUUGUUGUAAUUCACAUCAAACAAUAAGCAGAUAGAGCCUUCUCCAAGUUCAAUGCGACGGUAAGACGCAUGUCGUUUGUAUACGCAAAUUCUAUGGUGACUUGAACUUGACUUGAAUCAGUCAAAAAUAAUAUUUUCGAUAAAUCACGGCACGAUAGGUAUACUCUUUACUUUGACAUUUGCUUUCUCACACGAGAGAUUAGAAACGUUAGUAAAACAAAAACUUUGUUAAAUUUGAAUACAGCUUUUUAAAGCAAAUUAAAACAAAUUUGAUCCAAUUGCUUCGUUUGAAGAAUAGGAAAGAAAAUCAAACGAAAUUCGUCAAUUUCUGUGAACAGUAAAAUAUGAAACAAUUAGAAGUAAAUGUGUACGCGUUUACAAGUAUACCAUUCAAUAUAUUUUUUUGCCGGGUGGUAGGAUCGUGUUGGUCUAUAAAACAGCAGUAAGCAUCCAGCAUCACUUCAUUGCGAGAGUGUACUUCUUACCGCGAGUACAGCUCAAAUUCUUUCGUAAGUCUGAAAAAAAAGAAAAAGAAAAAGAAAAAAAAGAAAAAUGUAAAUAGUUGGAUAUUGCGUAAAAACAAAUUCUUGCCGGUUCAGUCAAUUACGUUUGAACAGCGAAGAAAAGUUGAAGGAGGAAGUGUCGCUAAUCAAUUUGUUCAGAAAGUGUGAAUUUCGAAAGUAAAAAUACAAGACGACCGAAUACACAUUAUACGUGAUAUCCGUUAGCACUUAAAGCGAAGAAUUUCGAAAUAGCGCGAACAAAAUGAAAAUUUUGUUCAUAUUUUUAUUGUUGAUUGCCGCUGGGUCUGCAGCCCCUUGGGUCGAAAUUCUUUUCGGUAAACAACCAGAUUAUGAUUAUCAACUACCACCGAGCUACAAGAAUCAGCAAUACAGACGGCGACAAGGGAAAGCAGGGAAGGAAAGAUGGAAAGAAAUUUGUAGGACGAUAAAUCCCAAUCCUUACGCAUUUCCGGGUCAAGUUCCCUAUCCUUCUGCACCAGUUUGCCCUUGGUAACCAGAUAGAUUUGUUUAACGGAGGUAUGAAGCAUGAACGAUUGAACUACACAUAGAAAUCCAUUAAAAAUAUGAAUUUAUUGUAACAAUAUAUCAGGGAAUACGAAGAUAUUCACUGGUUAUGAGUAUUUCAGUCGGUAUACAAGUUUACUAUGUAUAACCAAUGACAUGAAAGUACGCAGUCGUAUAUACCUGCCGGUAUAUAAUAUAAAUUAUAUAUCAAGGGAUUCUGAUA